CAUGAUGGUUAGCAUGACAGACAGUAUUGCCAGGCAGUUAAGAUAGUAAUUCAGGGACAGUACUUUGUGAACAGAUAUGUGUUCACAGAGCGUGUGAAUGUAGCCUUGUAGUCCGAGUGGCGAGUUGUGCGGUUUACAGUGUCAAAGGCUACACACAGCAGGAGCGUGGGAUCCAGAAACAUGUUGUCAGAGAAUUUGUUUGUGGUGUUGGGAGUUGGUCUACACAAACACAGAAGAUGAACUUCUUUGUGUGGCAAUGAAAGUCUUGCAUUAACAAUCUCAUCAGCGCCAUCAGUGAGCCACGUUUCAGUCACUAACAUAAUGUCCAGAUGACUGUCACUGAUAAGCUGUGCGAUCUCUCUUCUCAUCGCCUGCUGUGUGGAUGACACAGACCGUGAACAAGCUGCAGACGUCGCACAGCGAGGAGCCGCCAUCCUUUCAUCCGUUUUUAGUCUUAAUAGUGAGUCUCCAUGUCUUAGUACUAUACAUUAUAAAAUUGCUCUUACAAGACACUUAACUUUAAAUAAGUAUUUCAAAAUGACUAGACAGGAAAAAAAAAUUAUUCAAAAGAAAAUAAAUUAGUUUAGUUUAAUCCUUGUUACUAUUCGAGGACCAGAGGGGCGCCAGAAAAUGAAUUUCGCUUUUAUUUUUUGACUUUUAUGGAUUAUUCAGAAAUUUAUGUAAAAUCGAUGUCUAUACCAAAGAAGCGUUUAAAAUUCAUUGCCUGCAUGAAAACUUCAAUGCUGUUAAGCAGUUUGUUUUUUUUUUCUCUCUUUUUUGUUGUUGUCCGGUUAUUGUAAUAUCACAUCGAUUUCGCGCAUUCUGUGUGAAAAUAAAUACCUUGGCUGAAUUAUGUGAAGAUUUUUGUGAAAUACGAUAUUUUGUAUUGUUUUUCUAACAAUAAAUGAAGCUUUGUUGCUGUUUUCGUAAUUUUAAUGUUUAUUAAGGCUUCAACACGUUGAAAUUUAUCAGGGCUUCUGCUAAGGCUAAAUUCUUUGGGGUCCCAGGGACCCUUUCUUCAGAUUUUUAAGUGGUCCCUGUUCUUCCCCCGCAUUUGAAGGGGACCUCAUUGACGAAAAUUGAAGGGGUCCUCCAAACUUUUAAUGCGUACUGUAUGCAAUUUUUUGCGUAAGCAGAAGCCCUGCAUUUAUAUUCCUUUUUACCAAUUGUAGCAGAAAAGACAGGAAAAAACCUUUUCAUAUGCCUCGGAUUAGUGCAUAUCAUUUUUCUGAGCUAGUGGAAUGGAACUAGAAAACUCAAAAACACAGACCAUUAUAUAAUGUAUUAAGUGUCUGUGUCAGCUGAUUGUAAUCAUGGCACUUCAGUAUCACAGAAUUAAUUUCACCAGGUUGUGUGGUCCGGCGACAGCAGUGACUGCACCAUGCUCAUCUUCCCCUCGUCUGUGUAUCAGACCAUGGUGGUAUGGUGCUUAGUGUAAAAUGUUUUCUGCUCUAAUAAAACUGUUACCAGAGAAAGUUUGUGUCUCAAACAGAGCGCCUCCUAGACUACUAUUGCUUGGAACACCUGGCACAGGUAGAAACAUUUAGCUGCUGAUGGUGGGUUCAAAACGGUUACGACGUUUACAUUGUUAGUACUUGGUGGGGGAGUGUUGCAGCAUGCAUCCUGCUGUGUCAUCUGGUGCUAAACACUCGGCAAUAAACAGUUGUAAAGUAUGGUCAACUACAUCUCCUGCAGCAUGAGUUUGAUGACGAGAAAAAGAGAGAAGAAUGCCGUCAACGAUUUGUCACAGGCGGCAAAGGAAGGGUCGGAGUAGGUCAUCAACAAUAAAGUUGUGCACGAAAACAAGUUUUUACCUGAAACUUAUUUUCCAUCUGCAGGCAAGUAAGCGAUCUACAGACAAAAUGUACUUAAAGAAAUGUGCAUUAUUGGGAUAAUUAAAUGCUUAAUUGCAUGUUUUGCAUAUCUCUUUAACUUUCCUUUUACUUGAAAACCUAUAUAUAUAAUUUUUAACAUUAUUUUAUGAGUUCCUGUUUUAUAAUAUGUGAAAUGUUUGAGGCUAUAUAACUUGUACUGUCUUUUGUCAUUUAUAUAUAUAUACACUACAGAUUACCCAGACAAUAGACGACAUUGUUUAACCCCAGGUAGUCUUCCCACCCUAUCUGUGUGUUCGUGGACACACUUGACUUUGCUGUUUUUCUAUACCUUAAACGCAUCUGAUGCAGGAAUGUAUUUCUUGUGUUUACCCACAAACACCAAAUGUACUUCAAUUUCUCUGACACGACUUGUUAAUUCACAUUGCGACUAUAAUGCCGAGUUUUAUGUUUUUCAGGAACAUCAAAUGUCUUUGGAGUUCAUAUUAUGUGUUAAUUGUACACACUCGGGGUGUCGUAGUUAUAAAUAUCUUGAACAUGGAAAUACUCAUCGGUGUCGCUGAAUAAUAAAUAUUCUGUUAAUAGCGCACACACACACACAAUACAGACAAACAAACACAAACGGCCUGAAACCAUUUUUAAUUCCCACCAACAAAAAUUACACAGAAACAGAAACAACAUAGACAUUAUAGAGACAGACAGGAUUCUCCACAAGUGGAAAGGCGGUUUUAAAGUAGGACAUAAAACGAAAAUCCUCUCGAUCACAUGCAAGUCUGUAAACAGCUUCAUCUGAUGACACAUUCAUCUUUUUCUGUGUUCUUUACGUUUAGUUGACAAAAAGGGGACGCAAAUCUUAGAUAAAAUGCUCAUAGGAUUCUCCUGUUAUCACCCCUUUAAUUAAUAAGUAUAUUGUAUAAAGCUGGUGGAAAUUACACUUAUGACAAAAAAACCUAUUCGAAUCUUCAGAAAUCCCAAAUAACUAUGAGACAGACCAGGGAAGAAGUUGCAAAAAAAAAAAAAAAAUCAUUCUUAUUAUUUAAAAUCCACCUUGGGGAGUAGUUGUGAUGAUGUCUACAGUUUUGGGAAAUCCCGCUAGCGUAGACCUUGUUACACUGACUGGCAUCCUGACCUGACCUCUGACCUUUGUUUUAUAAGACCAAGAGAAGCAGCUGCACGGUGACGUGGCCGGAAGGUUCUCGUCUGUAAGUUGUGUGAUGUCACAAACAUUAGGCGGCGGUGUCUCCUACCCUCUCCUUCGCUCGUUUCUCUCGUACUUGGUGAGGCGGUGAGGCGUGAAGGACUAAACUUGCACCUGAAUUACAAUAGCAAGCAGCAAAGGGGCAACAGUGUAGCAACAUCAUGUCAAGCAAAAGAGGACAUCGACGACAUCGACAGUCCACUCAGGAAACAUCAUCUGCAUCGAAACUGGUAGAGGUAGUCAUGAAAUGUAGCAGCAACAGGUUCGCCUGGUACAAGUGAUCAGCUAGUACCAGUCAAAGGAUGGAUGGAUGAUGAUGAUGAUGAUGAUGAUGAUGAUGAUGUUGAUGAUGAUUGAUGAUGAUUGAUAAUGAGGAUGAUGCAGCUAAAAAAUUAAGCAAAAUAACCAUGUUGACCUCGUCUGGGAUAUGUUUGCAAUGAUUAAUCAAAUUUAAUUGAGUUAAGUGUAAAUUAAAUAAUUCUGAUAUAUUUAUUAUUAGUUUUCUUACAAGUUACAUUACAAUUGUUCCAUGAAGUAUGAAAUAUUUAAAAAUCACCAAGACUGCGUUAUUGGCAACAGAAUCUGUUAAACUUUCCCCUUCUUUGAAACCUCCUAAAGUUGGUUUUUACCUUCAUAAUAGUAGUUCCAUUUUAUUUUUACUCAGUUUGUCAUGAGCUGAAUUCCACUUCUUUGAACUUUUUUUCUCUACCUACUGUUAUAUCUUAAUAUUUGGGGGAAAUCACCAGCAGCAGUAGCAGUUUUUUAAUACUUGUUUAAUGUUAUCUUAUUGUCAUCACACAUGUGCAGUCUAAGCGUGGGAAGGAGGAAAGCCGCAGUGAGCCUCGACAACCAGCUUCAGAACCUGUCUUGUGUACUCAUGUCACGACCGGUAGUCGGACAUUGCGCAUUCUUUACAAAGAACGACAAGAGAUCACUUCAGUUUGAGACGUUCGGUUAUUUAUUUUCAGGGAUGGGCAAGCUACUUUUAAUUUGUAGCCGGCUAGGCUACAGCUACUUUUUUUCAAAAUGUAGCCGGCUACACUACAGCUACAAUUUUCCAAAA
rnacentral:lncRNA from 1 species